AGAGUUUGAUUAUGGCUCAGGAUGAACGCUAGCGACAGGCUUAACACAUGCAAGUCGAGGGGCAGCGGGGCGGCAGGCUUGCCUGCCGUUGCCGGCGACCGGCGCACGGGUGAGUAACACGUAUGCAACCUGCCCGUGGCAGGGGGAUAAGCGGGGGAAACCCCGUCUAAUACCGCGUAACGCGGCCUAGGGACAUCCCAAGGCCGCCAAAGGGAGCAAUCCCGGCCACGGAUGGGCAUGCGGCGCAUUAGCUAGUCGGCGGGGUAACGGCCCACCGAGGCGACGAUGCGUAGGGGUUCUGAGAGGAAGGCCCCCCACACUGGUACUGAGACACGGACCAGACUCCUACGGGAGGCAGCAGUGAGGAAUAUUGGUCAAUGGGCGCGAGCCUGAACCAGCCAAGUCGCGUGAGGGAGGACGGCCCUACGGGUUGUAAACCUCUUUUGCCGGGGAGCAACGGGCGUCACGUGUGGCGCCACUGAGAGUACCCGGAGAAAAAGCAUCGGCUAACUCCGUGCCAGCAGCCGCGGUAAUACGGAGGAUGCGAGCGUUAUCCGGAUUUAUUGGGUUUAAAGGGUGCGUAGGCGGAUCGUUAAGUCAGUGGUCAAAUUGAGGGGCUCAACCCCUUCCCGCCAUUGAAACUGGCGAUCUUGAGU
rnacentral:rRNA from 1 species